UACGUAGGGUGCAAGCGUUGUCCGGAAUUAUUGGGCGUAAAGAGCUCGUAGGCGGUUUGUCGCGUCGAAUGUGAAAACCCGGGGCUCAACCCCGGGCCUGCAUUCGAUACGGGCAGGCUAGAGUUCGGUAGGGGAGACUGGAAUUCCUGGUGUAGCGGUGAAAUGCGCAGGAUAUCAGGAGGAACACCGGUGGCGAAGGCGGGUCUCUGGGCCGAUACUGACGCUGAGGAGCGAAAGCGUGGGGAGCAAACAGGA
rnacentral:rRNA from 1 species